ACAUGGACCCACUGGUCAAGCGGGCUCGGCAAGGCCAGGAUGAAGAGAAGCUACGAACUUAGCAUUCCCAGAGCCCCCCGAGUGGAUAUCCGCGUGGAAAGGAUGUUGGCAGCCCCGGUGACCUCGGAGUCACGGCUGGAUCCACCCUCUUGUCUGAUUUUCUUAACUCUACUACGGUAAGAAGAUGCCCUCCAUCAGCAGGCCGUGUCUGCUGGGACCUCUCUGGAGACUUCCUGAACCCUGUGGAUUUACAGUAAGAUGCAGUUUCCUGGGGAGUAAUUCUGGUGGAUACAAAUUCCGGAGUAUUACACCUGGCUUGCCUGGAGAUGUUACAAGUAGCUGGAUGGAUUCUUCAGCCUGGAUGCCCACUGAAAACAAGGACCGAAACUAAGAGGAUUGUAUCUCUACCCUUGACUCAAUGAGAAUGUUUGUUGUCAUCUCUCGGGCUACCUGGAGCUCCCUCUAAAAUUAUACCCUUUAAGCGUUCCAGAAGGAUUUUGAGAUCCUUUCCUAAAUCAAAGGUGGAAUAUUUGGGGAUUUGGAAAAUUGAGGCUUCAGAGAAAUCAGGAGCGGUGAAUGAUCGAAAUGGACCUUUGAGAUUACAGUGUGGAGCUGACAUUGCCAGUUAAGCCUGGGCAGAUCUGACUUAAUUGAUUUAGUUGUUGGAGCAGAGACAACCCAGAGGCUUGGAUCAGCCUCCCCAUCUGACAGUGUGCUGAUGUGAAGCGUUGACUUAAGAGAUGCCAAGUAACUCAGCAGAUGUCACACAGACGAUAAAUAGCAAAGAUGGAAGUCUUCAUGCCGGAGGCAAUCCUAUAAGACAGCUGAGUUCUGCAGAGCUGGAGACAGACUUGCUCAGGUGAUAGAUCCAGCCAUGAUACUGACCCUAAGAGAAUGAGACGCUCUGCAGAAGACAGAAGAUUCCUGAAACUGGGAAAGGUGCCUAGAAAUCCUGAUAAGAGUGAAGAAGGGUACCUGGAGGCACAGCAGCCAUGUUGAACCUAUGAGGUGAUGAAAAACCAUGCAACUAGAAACCAGAAUGGAAGAAAAGAAGAAGCUGGAUCCUUGACUGAAUUGUCGAUGGGGGAUAGUCCAUCAUCCCAGGGCUAAGACCACCUCCAGAUUUCUUGUUUGGUGAAACAAGUCCUGAUUGUUUACAUUCCCUCGUGUUGAGCUGUCUCUUGCUUGUAGCUGAAAGCAUUUCUAAUAGAUAUUCAGAUUAUCAGCCUUAGCUCCAAGCUAGAAUACUCUAUGGGACCUUAGCUUCUCCAUGAAUUCCUUUGCUCAUCUGUGUAAUGCUCAAUAAAUGUAAAUUGAACCCUGAAUGAGGGACAAUGACACUA
rnacentral:lncRNA from 1 species